rnacentral:rRNA from 1 species
GACGGAGGGUGCUAGCGUUGUUCGGAAUGACUGGGCGUAAAGGGCGCGUAGGCGGCUCGUGAAGUCGGGUGUGAAAGCCCGGGGCUCAACCCCGGAACGGCAUCCGAUACUGGCGGGCUUGAGACCGGGAGAGGAGGGUGGAAUACCCAGUGUAGAGGUGAAAUUCGUAGUUAUUGGGUGGAACACCGGUGGCGAAAGCGGCUCUCUGGCCCGGAUCUGACGCUGAGGCGCGAAAGCGUGGGGAGCAAACAGG